UACGUAGGGGGCUAGCGUUGUCCGGAAUCAUUGGGCGUAAAGCGCGUGUAGGCGGUCCGGUAAGUCCGCUGUGAAAGUCGGGGGCUCAACCCUCGGAUGCCGGUGGAUACUGUCGGGCUUGAGUACGGAAGAGGCGAGUGGAAUUCCCGGUGUAGCGGUGAAAUGCGCAGAUAUCGGGAGGAACACCUAUGGCGAAGGCAGCUCGCUGGGACGUUACUGACGCUGAGACGCGAAAGCGUGGGGAGCAAACAGG
rnacentral:rRNA from 1 species